rnacentral:lncRNA from 1 species
AGGACUUCAGGAGCCAGCGGGCUGGGGAGCAGGUCAGAAGGAGGCAUCGCGUGGGGCCGCCAGGACAGGUUCUGUGCCAGCUGCCGAGCCUGCGUCCGUGUGACCCCGUGGGAGACGCCGGCACUAGCAGAGAAUUAGCAGUUUCACAGUGGAUCUCUCUCUCUCUCUCUCUUUUUUGUCUUUUUAGGGCCGUACCCAUAGCAUGUGGAGGUUCCUAGGCCAGGGGUCAAAUCAGAGCUACAGCUGCUGGCCUACACCACAGGCGCAGCCACACGGGAAUCCUUAACCCACUGAGCAAGGCCAGGGAUCGAACCUGGGUCCUCACGGCUCCUAGUCUGGUUUGUUACCGCUGCGCCACAACAAGAACUCCAGGGCUCUCUGUUUUGCUCCCUGAUGGGUGCUGAGCACCUAAUGAUACCUGUCGCUCAGUAAAUACUUAAUGAAUGGAUGGAUUCUGCAACUCAUCCUGAAGAGAUUUAAGGCAUACUGAGUGCGAGGAUGACGUAAAAUACGCCGGGAGAAAAUCCACGCCCUGUUGCUAAGGAAGAAGCUGAGACAGCGGGACGGCAGAGGCUGCCCGGCGAGCCCGCCCCAAGGCUGAGAUCAGCGCACGGAUGGCAGGCAUGGAGUUCCGGACACUUCCCAGAGCAGGCUGCAGACUUGGCUCCGAGACCUCCAGCUGCUCGGGAUCUGUGUCAGGAAGAUGCAGGCAACUUAGAUUUACUGUCUCCUCAGGCAUCCGUGGCCUGGCCCUCGCCAGAGAGAUGCCUGACGUUGAUUACGGGGAGACAGGAGUAGGUGUGCGUCCGGCACAAGCCGGUCACUGCCCCCAGGGCGGCUGGUCCGGACGGUGCACAGACUCGUGGAUGAAGGCCGCUGGAUGCCCACGUUGGCUGGGAUUUAAUUCUGCCCUUUGGCCUCUGAGGGGCUAAUGUCGACACAUGUUCAGUAAUAAGUAAAAAGUACUGUCACGUUACGGACUUUCGGUGUCGUUGAAGCGUUGAGAAGAAAUGAGGCUGGGAUAAAAAUGGCUAUUUUUUUUGGAAUGCAUUUUACUAAAAUGUUAAUUGUAUUUUUCAGAGUCUUAAAAGUAUGGAGACCAGAAAACGAUGAGCCUCACAUUUCCUACACACGGGACUCAUGGUUUCACACCUAAAACUCUGCAGAGAACACGUGAAGCAGUUAGGGUGUAAGAUGCCCCUGCUUCUCGGCCCCGCCUCACCCCUGCCCGUCAGCAGACCCCGGGCUCCAGCGCGUCUUCCCAGCUCGGCCGCAUCUUUCCCCAGGGUCGCCCUUGCUGCUUUCUUCUGCGCCGUCUUCAGGUUCUCAGUGAGCCCAUCCCUGGUCACCUCAUCUGGAACUGUACACACACACGCACACACACACACACACACACACACACACACACGCACGCUGACCCUCUCUCUUUCUAAAGCCUCGCGCUGGCACAUCCGUCACACUCGUGUCUCUCGGUGGGGGCCUCUGUCCCUGCCUGUCCCUGCUCGCUGCUGUGCCCUCAGUGCCCGUAGACGCGGUCGGCCCGCUUGUGGGAUGGGUGCAUUUCCGGCUUCUUUUGAGACAUUGGUCCCACCGAGCUGGGCUGAUUCCUGCGCGGAAACUGUCAUCUGAGGCAAAGUGGCAGGACGGGCAGAGGGCUGUCGCAUUCCUGGCUUCUCGGGAAGCUUGUUUGUGGCCCCCGCACUCCUGCAGGGGCGGUCUGUAGCCAGGGGGUCCCCUCUCACACGUGGGCGUCUGGGACGCCUGCGCCGGCCCGCCUGGCUUGUCCCCGUGGGCGUUUGAGUGCACGACCGACCGCGGUGUGGAGUAAAAUGAUCACCUGUCCGUGGGAGAGACUGGACGCGGUGACAGCUGGCUCUGCUCAUGGUAAAGGAACUGGAGAAGAGCCUUGCUGUCUCGAUACUGAGUCGCGAGGGUGACACUCGUGUUCUGGGCGUUUCCCAUGUUACGGCAACGCGGGCUCCACAUCACUCCGGGGUUUCCACCUGCAGUGACCCUCACGGCGCGGUACAUGCUGCAGCCGCUUUACUGUGUUUGUCCAAUGCACGCUGCCUUGCUGGGAGCCAGUGCAUAUUUUGGCAAAUGUGCUAUACUUUAAAAAAAAAAAAUCCAUUGCUUUUCCCAAUCAGAAAAUAAUAGUUCCCAGGAAACUGUUACAGGGAGUCUUAAAAAUUCUUCCCUGCGCACAUGUCAUUGAUCCCUGGGGAGCGGUAGAGCCUUUGAGACUUACUGUGGUCCAGUCUGUUGUACAAACUCUGCCUUGCUGCAGCUCCUCGGGGGAGUUCCCGCUAAGAGAGCAUUCGAUGUGCGUUUUGUACAUGGAACAAGGUCCGUGUAAGACAGCCGUCGGGGCACCACUCGGGCUGCGCUUCCUCCGUUAACCUCUCCUGCAGAGUCUCAGGUGCAGAGCUGAAAACAGCAAACACCUUCAGGUGCUUUACAGACACCAGAUUGCAGUGUGACUUAGUCGCCUCCGACUUCUUUUUCUGGGCUGCGCAAAUCUGGCCCAGGGAGUCCCAUCCUCGGAAAUACUCUAAGGAAAUGUGGAUAUAGGCAUCUUCUUGUUCAGUCUCGAUUUGAGAUCGUCUUUUUAAAAAGUCCAGACCAAAGGCACAGGCCCUGGCAGAAGGAUGGACAGUAAGCAGCAGUGAUGCAGCUGCAGGCUCUGCAGGACACGCUGGGGGGGCCCUGUGCGCACCCACCCCCCACCCCGUCCACCCGGCUCGACUGUCCCAGGGGAGACACAGCACCACGGUUAGAUAAAAGUCACGCAGUCUGUGUUACAACAGAGGUUUGGCCAGGACCUGAUUAAAAUCCUGACAGGACCCAGAGCAUGGAAAAGAGUAUUGCAGGCUGCCUUUUCCACACCCAGUUGAUAAUUCAGAAUGACACAAAAUUUAAAUUCGUGACUACAUCCAAGUAGUUUCUUUGAAAUAUUUUCAUGUCAAAGUUCUAGUAACUUCAUUGCGGUAAACUUUUUUCUCUGGGGUGACACGUGGAACCCCAAGCAUACACUUCUGCAGUGGUCGUGUGUCCAGCGGGGCAGCCCCCGUCCCUCCAGCGCACAGCUGGGGACGCUUUCAAGUAGAGGCGAUGCCGGGCACUGCCCGGUGGGAUGAGCACGUGCUUCUCACUGAAAGUCACCGCCGACUUGGUGAGGAGACGUGGGGCUGGACUGUACGUGCAGUUUGUCACCGGGUCUCCCGACUGUCGGGGUGCUUCUUGGAAGCCCCAGUACCCUGGACCAGUGGUAAUGGGUUUUGCUACCGGGCGAUGGAUCUGUUUUUGCGCACCUCUCGGUGGAGGUGCUAAGAAACAGCAGAAUGCCCCGGGCUUGUCAGUGGACGGUAAGGAGGCAUAGGGGGGCGGAGGCAGGGCAGGUGGCCGCGUGGACAGUCUUCAGCCGAGUCAUUAGGGGAGGGUUGUCGUUUGCCUGGUUGUGAUUGAAGAGUAUCUGACUAGGGUGUCUGUGAGACAGGAAGGGCCGGGGACAGGGACGGAGAGAUGGAAGGAGCCAAAAAAAAAGGGCCAGAACUGACUUGAAAUUGGUAUUGGUUACAGUAUCGAUUGGAUUUAUUUUCUGUCUUGGAGAUCAAACUUUAACAGAAUGCUUUACUUUCUUCAACAUAUACGGUCUAAUCUAUUUUUCAAGUUGUGAAAAGUCUGAAGAAAUCUCCGCCUCCUCAUCCCCUCUG